GAUGAACGCUAGCGGCAGGCUUAAUACAUGCAAGUCGAGGGGUAGCAAGAUUGUAGCAAUACAAUUGUUGACGACCGGCAAACGGGUGCGGAACACGUACACAACCUUCCUACAAGUGGGGAAUAGCCCAGAGAAAUUUGGAUUAAUACCCCGUAACAUAGCGAUGUGGCAUCACGUUGCUAUUAUAGCUUCGGCGCUUGUUGAUGGGUGUGCGGCUGAUUAGAUAGUUGGCGGGGUAACGGCCCACCAAGUCUACGAUCAGUAGCUGAUGUGGGAGCAUGAUCAGCCACACGGGCACUGAGACACGGGCCCGACUCCUACGGGAGGCAGCAGUAAGGAAUAUUGGACAAUGGACGCAAGUCUGAUCCAGCCAUGCCGCGUGAAGGAUUAAGGUCCUCUGGAUUGUAAACUUCUUUUAUAAGGGACGAAAAAAGGUCUUUCUAGAUCGUCUGACGGUACCUUAUGAGUAAGCACCGGCUAACUCCGUGCCAGCAGCCGCCGUAAGAC
rnacentral:rRNA from 1 species